rnacentral:rRNA from 1 species
UACAGAGGGUGCAAGCGUUGUUCGGAAUUAUUGGGCGUAAAGGGCGCGUAGGCGGUGCCACAAGUCACCUGUGAAAUCUCCGGGCUUAACUCGGAGCCUGCAGGCGAAACUGUGGUGCUGGAGUGUGGGAGAGGUGCGUGGAAUUCCCGGUGUAGCGGUGAAAUGCGUAGAGAUCCGGAGGAACACCAAUGGCGGAAGGCAGGGUCCUGGCUGGCACCUGAC